ensembl:lncRNA
GGACAAUGAAGACAUUUUUGAUGGUGAUAGAGAUCUAAAUUGCUUUGUUAACAAAAAAUCAUAAUAUGAUGUUGCUGGUGAUGUUAAUGGUGAGAAUGCUGAUGGUGAUAAUGAGGGAGAUGAAGUAAGUAUAAUUUUUGAUGGUGAUACAGACGAAAUCAAUGGUUUCAGUUGUUUUGUUAACACAGAAUCAUAAUAAGACAGUAUUGAUGAGGUUGCUGGUGAUAAUUCUGAUGGUGAUGACACGGGUGAUAAUUCUGAUGGUGAUGAUGCUGUUGAUAAAACUGGUGAUGAUACUGGUGAUAAUUCUGGUGGUGUUGCCAAAGAUAAUAAUGAUGGUGAUGAUACUGGUGAUAACUCUGAUGGUGAUGCUGUUAAUAAAUCUGAUGGUGAUGAUACUGGUGAUAAUUCUGACGGUGAUGAUACUGGUGAUAAUUCUGAUGGUGAUGAUACUGGUGAUAAUUCUGAUGGUGAUGACACUGGUCUUAACUCUGAUGGUGAUGAUACUGGUGAUAAUUCUGAUGGUGAUGAUACCGGUGAUAAUUCUGAUGGUGAUAUGGUGAUAAUUCUGAUGGUGAUGAUACUGGUGAUAAUUCUGAUGGUGAUGAUACUGUUGAUAAUUCUGAUGGUGAUGAUGCUGUCGAUAAAUCUGGCGAUGAUACUGGUGAUAAUUCUGAUGGUGUUGCCAAAGAUAAUAAUGAUAGUGAUGAUACUGGUGAUAACUCUGAUGGUGAUGAUGCCGGUGAUAUUUCUGAUGGUGAUGUAGAUACUUCGUGUGGUGAUGUUGGUGAUAAUUCUGGUGGUGAUGCUGCAGAUAAUUCUAAUAGUGAUGAUGCUGAUGACAAUGACGCUUGUGAUAAUGCUGAAG